AUUGAACGCUGGCGGCAGGCCUAACACAUGCAAGUCGAACGAGUGGCGGACGGGUGAGUAAUGUCUGGGAAUCUGGCUUAUGGAGGGGGAUAACUACGGGAAACUGUCGCUAAUACCGCGUACCAUAAGAUGUGCCCAAGUGGGAUUAGGUGGUUGGUGGGGUAAAGGCUCACCAAGCCGACGAUCCCUAGCUGGUCUGAGAGGAUGACCAGCCACACUGGGACGGAGACACGGCCCAGACUCCUACGGGAGGCAGCAGUGGGGAAUAUUGCGCAAUGGGGGCAAGCCUGAUGCAGCCAUGCCGCGGGAAUGAAGAAGGCCUUCGGGUUGUAAAGUUCUUUCGGUGGCGAGGCGUUAACUACAGAAGAAGCACCGGCUAACUCCGUGCCAGCAGCCGCGGUAAUUC
rnacentral:rRNA from 1 species